GGGCUCCAUCUGCCAGGUGCUGCAGUUUGGACUGCAUCCCUUCCUCUUCCAACACGGUCCAUGAAGACAUGGAGGACAGUCUGGUGGAUGACCUGGACUGACCUGCACAGAGUCUGAACUGGAUGGGUUAGUGGGGGACGACACUUCAGUUCAUGUGAGUCAAGGCAGUGGUGUCCUCCUUGGUUCGUCUCCCAUGAAAUCCACUCUGGCUCAAACAACCACGAAUGGAACUUCAAGCUGCUUAAAGAUGCGGAGCAGAUGUGGUCUGUGACGUCUGCACUGGAACAAACGACACGCCCUGAAGUCCUGUCUGACCUGCCUUGCUCCUUCCUGGGAGGAACACCUUCAGCCUCAUUUGAAAGCAGCUGCAUUGAAGAAACACAAGCUGGUGGGACCCUCCAAGAACCUGCAGGAGAACAUCUGCUCCUCCAGUCAUGAUGAGCUGCUUCAACAGCAGGUGGAGGAGAGUGAGGAGGUCUUCCCUUAGAUGAUCCGUCCCCUCCAGAAGAGAAGAGGUGAAGUAAAGAACAAGAUCAGAUUCCAACAGCUAACUGAAGUGAGGCGGGUCAAAGGUCUUCAGAAGGAGCUGCAGCAGGAGAUGACUGAGCUGAUUAGGAGAUGCUGUGAGCGUCAGCAGAGACGGGAUGGCAAAGCAGUUAUCUGUCACUUAAACCUGUGUUCUUUGUGAUAUGAAGAAAUCAAGUCAGCGUGGUAUUUUGUCAUUUUCUCACUGAGUGAAGAUGCCUGAAUGCUUCCCAUAACCUGCAAUGAUUGACAUGAGCCACUGUCGCACAUUUCCAGCCAUAUCUCCUUGAGGGUUUGGUGCGUUGGAAUGAUGAAGGGAUGGAGGACGCUGUCAAAGGAAAUUCCUCCUUCCAGUUAUUUGAAACUACAAUGAGAGAGGCCGUGGAGCAACUCAGGAAGCCCUGGGAUGAGCGUUAUCGUCCUCCUGGAGCAUAAACGGACCCCUGAAGAGGAGGACAGGCUGCUGCAGAGAGUCGAUGAGCAGGACUUCCAAGACUGUCCCAGUGUUAGAUGACCCCCACCUUGAUGUUGUUGCCAGCCCCUCAUCUUCACCUCAGCCACGACCGCACCAACUGAGACUGAAAGCAGCCCUUCAGACGAGGCAGAGUGGGCUGUUGUUGGACCCGAUGGCAUAGCUGGCUGGGACAAAGUCCAGGAUCUGGCUUCUUACUGGUGGGACUCCGUGAGGCUCCUUACCUCACUGACCCCCAAGUUACAGAGGCCAUUGGAUCAUGGACGGCUCUCCUGGAUGUGGAUAAAGAGCGGGUCAUCUACCAGCCCCGGCACCAGCCUCAACUUACACACGGCCGCUUUAAGGCACCAAAACGCUCCGGGGUGACACCAGGAGUGGAAAGUGUCAAAAGGUGUCUCAGUGGACAUCCUGGGGGUCCAGCUCAGUGGCCAAAAACCAGCCGCUUGGUUCAAUUCAAUUCAGUUUUAUUUGUAUAGCCCAAAUUCACAACAACAUGUUGAGGCUGUAUGCAUCAAGCUUAGCAGAUUACAUGAGACUCCCACCAAAAAGGUUGGAGGUGGUCCAAAACCCUCACGGAUUACUACCAUACCCAGGAUUUAGUGCAGAGGCUGAUGGAUCCAUGAUCCAGCUGUUUGAGCUCAAUCAGAGGAAACUCCUUCAGUGGUUUCAGCGGCGGCAGAAAAACCAAGAAAUGAGGCCGAGGACACUCAUUGACUCCACCCGAGCCAGUUGCUGUAGCUUCAAGCGACCUUCCAGCUCCAAGGGAAAAAAUGGAUGAGGCACCACGUCCACACCUGGGCCAAAAUUCAAAUGGAUUCUCCCUCUAAAUAGAGCAGGACAGGCUCCUGUUCUGAGACCUGCUGCUGCUGCUGCUGCUGCUGACAGGAUGAAGUGCCCCAUCACACCUGCCAGCAGUGUAAGUGGAAUGAUUCCACCUGUGUCGGCACCUGGCUUACUGUUGGGGACCAUCAUUCUAAACCGCUUAUGCAUUUCCUGGAGCCACAACAUGCAGUGGCGGCUUCAUUCCCCCGACUUCACCUGCUGUCCCUGUGUCACGCUCCACACAAAGGAACAGGCAAAGACGGGCCUGAGAGGAAUAAAGCGGCCUCCACAAAAGGAAAUGCAUACGAGGAGUGAACUAUAAUACCGGCAGCAAAUGUGGACAGCCCAAAAGAAAAGAAUAGUCGCUCCAAAAAUGCCACAUUUAGCUCCAAGGAUUCAAAUGGACGAUCAUUUGGAUGGUUGGCAGAACAGCACAAAGGCAGAUCAGCUCCUCCUCUUCAGUCAUACCAUCGUCAUGUAGAUAUUACAUUAUUGUUGGAUGUACAUCUAUUCUUUAGUUCUAUUUUCUAAAUUUCUUUCUAAAGUGUGUGAUUCAUGGAAGUUUACUGUGUCUUCAUUUUAAUAAAACAUUUGAUGUAUUAAAUCAACAAAA